rnacentral:rRNA from 1 species
GCGACCCCAGGUCAAGUGGGAUCACCCGCUGAGUUUAAGCAUAUCAAUAAGCAUAGCAAAAUAAACAUACAUGGAUUCCCCUAGUAACUACGAGCGAACCGGGAAUAGCCUAACUUGAGAAUCGAGUGACCACACCAUUCGAAUUGCAGUCUGAAGAAGCGUCCUCAGCGGCAGACCGGGGUCGAGUCCCCUGGAAUGGGGCGCCAUAGAGGGUGAGAGCCCCAUUGCUCCUGGACCCUAUCGCACCAUAAGGCGCUAUCGACAAGUCAGGUUGUUUGGGAAUGCAGCCCCAAUCGGGCGGUAAAUUCCGUCCAAAGCUAAAUACAGGCGAGAGACUGAUAGCGAACAAGUACCGCGAGGGAAAGAUAAAAAGGACUUUGAAAAGAGAGUCAAAAAGUGCUUGAAAUUGUCAGGGGGAAAGCGGAUGGGGGCCGGUGAUGCAUCCCGGUCGGAUGUGGAACGACGAGAGCCAGUCCGCCGAUCGACUCGGGGCGCGGACCAGCACGGAUCGAUGCGGAGCUCAAAUUGGGGCGGUUGAUAUGCUCAUUUUAUGGCAUCGCGUUGAUCCAGGUGGACAACGUGUCCUCAUGCGUGCCUCGGUAACUAUGCUUUCCUGGUGCUAGCCUGUGGGCUCCCCAUUCGACCCGUCUUGAAACACGGACCAAGGAGUCUGACAUGUAUGCGAGUCAAUGGGCGAUUAAACCCGUAAGGCGCAAGAAACCUGAUCGGCGCCAUCCCCCCGAUAAGUGCACCGCCGACCAACCAUUAUCUUCUAAGAAGGGUUCGAGUGAGCGUACCUGUCAGGACCCAAAAGAUGGUGAACUAUGCCUAAGCGGGGCGAAGCCAGAGGAAACUCUUGUGGAGGCCCGCAGCAAUACUGACAUGCAAAUCGUUCAUCUAACUUGGGUAUAGGGGCGAAAGACUAAUCAAACCGUCUAGUAGCUAGUUUCCUCCGAAGUUUCCCUUAGGAUAGUUGUAGCUCUAGUGUGAGUUCUAUUGGGUAAAGCCAAUGAUUAGAGGCAUCGGGGGCACAAUGCCCUCGAUCUAUUCUCAAACUUUAAAUUGUUAGGAUGGCGCGGCUGCUCCAUUGAGCCGCACCAGAGAAUCGUGAGCUCCAAGUGGGCCAUUUUUGGUAAGCAGAACUAGCGAUGCGGGAUGAACUGGAAGCUGGGUUAUGUGCCCAACUGCGCGCUAACCUAGAUCCCACAAAGGGUGUUGGUCGAUUAAGACAGCAGGAUGGUGGUCAUGGAAGUCAAAAUCCGCUAAGGAGUGUGUAACAACUCACCUGUCGAAUCAACUAGCCCCGUAAAUAGAAGGCGCUGAAGUGCGCGACCUAUACCCGGCCAUCGGGGCAAGGGCCAUGCCCCGAUGAGUAGGAGGGCGCGGCAAUCGCUGCAAGACCCUGGGCGCGAGAUCGGGUGGAGCGGUUGUCGGUGCGGAUCUUGGUGGUAGUAGCAAAUAUUCAAAUGAUAAAUUUGAAGGCUGAAGAGGGGAAAUGUUCCAUGUGAACGGCAGUUACACAUUGGUUAGUCGAUCCUAAGGGUCGGGAGAAGCCCGACAGACAGCACGUUCAGUGCGUGCUCCAAAAGGGAAUCGAGUUAAAAUUCCAGAACUAGGAUGCGGUGGUUGACAGCAACAUUAGGUAGUCCGAAGACGUCAGUGGGGGCCUCGGGAAGAGUUAUCUUUUCUGUUUAACAGCCCGCCCACCAUGGAAAUGGCUCAGUCGGAGGUAGAGUCCAGCGGCUGGAAGAGCACCGCAUGUCGCGUGGUGUCCGGUGCGUCCCUGGAAGCCCUUGAAAAUCUAGAGGACCGAGUACCGUCUGCGCCUGGUCGUACUCAUAACCGUAUCUGUCUCCAAGUUGAACAGCAUCUGGUUGAUGGAACAAUGUAGGCAAGGGAAGUCGGCAAAAUAGAUCCAUAACCUAGAGAAAAGAAUUGGCUCUGAGGGCUGGGCACGGGGGUCCUAGUCCAGAACCCGUCGGCUGUCGGGGAACUGCUCGAGCUGCUCGCGCGGCGAGAGUGGGUCAUCACGUACUGGCCAGGGGACGGACUGGGAAUGGCUCUCUCGGGGGCCUUCCCCGAGCAUUGAAGAGUCGACUCAGAAUUGGUACAGACAAGGGGAAUCCGACUGUUUAAUUAAAACAAAGCAUUGCGAUGGUCCCUACGAAUGCUCGCGCAAUGUGAUUUCUGCCAAGUGCUCUGAAUGUCAAAGUGAAGAAAUUCAACCAAGCGCGGGUAAACGGUGGGGGUAACUAUGACUCUCUUAAGGUAGCCAAAUGCCUCAUCAUCUAAUUAGUAACGCGCAUGAAUGGAUUAACCAGAAUCCCACUAUCCCUGUCUACUAUCCAGCGAAACCACAGCCAAGGGAAUGGGCUUGGCAGAAUCAGUGAGGAAAGAAGACUCUUUUGAGCUUGACUCUAGUCCGACUUUUUGAAAUGACUUGAGAGGUGUAAGAUAAGUGGGAGCUGAAAGGCGAAAGUGAAAUACCACUACUUUUAAUGUUAUUUUACUUAUUCCAUGAAUCAGAGGUGGGGCAUUGCCCUCUUUUUGGACCCAAGGCUCGCCCCGGUGGGCCGAUCUAGGCAGAAGACAUUGUCAGGUAGGGAGUUUGGCUGGGGCAGCACAUCUGUUAAAAGAUAACGCAGGUGUCCUAAGAUAAAAAGCCAGUGACGCGAAGCUACAGUGCGCUGGAUUAUGACUGAACGCCUCUAAGUCAGAAUCCGAGCUAGACGCGAUGCAUGCGCCCGCCGUCCGCUCCCUGACCCACAGUAGGGGCCCCUGGGACC